GUCAUUGACUUUUUUGAUGACAUAAACGAAAAGCAGUAUAAAUGAGAUCAGAUAUUUGAAGAAUGGAUGAAUGCUUAAUUUAUGUUAUUUAGCCAUUGCAAAUAAAUAAUUUUCAGUUAGUUGUCACACAUUAUAUUCAUCGAUAGGUGGCAUUUGUGCAUUCGUAAUGUAUAUCUGUUUGGAAAGUACUUCCAGAACAAACAUUGGUAUAACAAAUCCUUUUGGAGAAGUGAAAGAACUAUCCAGCAAUUAAUUUAGCAGUUUCAUGUGGUGCAUAUUUUCAGAAAUAUAUGUAUCACAUUAUGCAUCAAUACAGAAUAUUAAUUGAUUGUUAGAUGUGUUAAAUGAGGAAAUUCAAGCAAUCUCACAGGAUGCUGAGCCUUAAGAAUAAAUUCUAGUUGGGUUUCCCGGUCUUAUCUAAUUAUUUUGGGCUUGAAAAAACACAUACGGGGACCACACAGUUAAAAUGUGUGAAUUCUAAACCUCCUACUAUAAAGAAAUAGCUGACCCUCAUAAUUUAAUCCUAAAGUCUACUUGGUAAGUGAUGGCUCUAUAAUGGGUCACAUAAAGAAAAAAACUGGGGUUGAGUUUAAUAGUUUAUGGGUAUUUAGAUAUUAUUGUAAAAGGUAAAGAUUUAUAGAAUAAUUUAAGAAACCUAGCAACAGAUCAUAUCAUAAAUAUUAAGUAACGUAUGGUUGAUUUUAAACAGCAGCAGGAUCACAAUAAAAAUAUUAGCUAAUUAGGUCUUCAAAUCAAUAUCAAAUUUGAAAGAUGAUUUUAAUAAGUUUGAUUGGUCGAGUAAAAGAAGCACUGGUGAAUUUCCCACAGGCACAAACCAGUUUGACACAUUAAAGUUUUUCUUUUUACAUAUUAAUAGAAAUUACAAUUAGCAGAACUUUCUCUGUUCAUGCAGAAAGAGCCCAUCUAUUUUGUUCAAACAUACUUCUUCUCUCAAAUUAUACAAAUACUAUUUCAGUACUUAUUUUCCUAACCAAAACUGCAUAUUUAUUUAGAAUUUAUAUGGUAAUUAAGCAAAAUAUACCCAGAAAAGGCCUCUCCUUCCGUUGGCAAGUCAUGUAAUGUUUAUAAAACAUUUACAACCAAAUAUGAAAAAAUAAAGAAUACUCCAAUAUUUGGCUCUAAAAACUACUAUAAAUACUGGCAUAUUUCUAAACAUAAGUACAUUCAGCAAGCUGCGCAGGUUUUGUUUUUUUUUUACUUUUUCCAAGAAACUACAAAAGGAAAAAACGAAACUAACUUUUGGUUUAUUUACUAAACACUGUGUUAUAGUGAAUUGAAAAACAAAUUGCAAAAUUUAGGACAGAGAGUUAGAGAAUUUGCCCAAAGCAGUUACUUUAGCCUAAAAAUUGCACUUCUUUAAAAAAAAAAAUAAUAAAAAAAAAAAUAUAUAUCAAUGCACUACAAUCUUUUGUCUUGUAAAUAAACCCAAUUGUAUAUAAAUAAACAUAGAUGAGCCACACACAAUAGAUCCCACUUAUUUAGUAGAUUUUUUCUUCAGUGUAGAAAUAAAACAUAUACUGUUAAAUAGAUAAUUGGGCAGGGUUCAUAAUUUGUGAUUUAGUUCCUCAUACAAAUAUAUUUUGUGCUCAGUCUGUGCUUGCUAUAAAGGACACUUUUUUAGAGCUGUAUAGAUAUAGAAAAUAUAUGUGCUUUACCUGAUAAAGUUUGCAUUGCAAAUUACUUCAGCAUACAUGAUCCAUAAAUAAAAAAAAAAAAAAAGGUCAACGUACAACUAUCUUAUGUUGAAAUUCACAAACAUUUACAAAUAUGUUGGAGAAGAACCAAUUUAAAAUCUAAUGUUGGAAAUGUUUUGAGGACACCCUAAUCCAUUAAACCAGUUUUGAAUACAUGCAAUGCCUUUCCAACACCAGACUUAAUUUUUAAUCAGCCAAUAGCACUGGAAAAAAUAUUUACAUUUUGUUAUUGUUUUAUAAAUUUGGCAAUUUCAAAUUUCAUUUGACCACCAAAAUGAACCACAAAGAGGUCUAGCUACAGGUCUUAAAGAUUUGGUAGAACUUUGCAUUCUACCCUUUAAGUAAGCUAUUGUGCUGUCUAUUUAUUAAAAGUUAUAUUGAUGAUGUUUUCAUUAUAAGCACUAUUAAAACAGUUUACAAUAAAAAGCACUUGGUGUUUGGGUCUUGCUGAAUUGUCAGUAUUGUAAGGUUGUAAGUUUUAAGUGCUUUUCUUUUUGUACAAAUAUUUUGUCUUGAUGAGAACACGCUGUCAUUUGUGUUUAAUUUUUUUAUCAGCUGUAAAUGGCUACAUCAACUAGUAACUUAAUAAUGCUCCUUGUCGCAUUUGAAUCUAAAGUUAUUCAGGCAUAACUCAUUUACAUUGUGUACCCUUAAAAACCCAUCAAAGUAACACUGGCAAAUGUUUAUAAGAUUCUGCUGUAAAAAGAUGUUUCAAAUUAUCAUGUAUUUUCAUUUCAAAUCUAAAGGUUGAAUUUUCCUUCAAAAUCUAUGUUUAAUAGAAAAGUAUACAUCAUUUUUUUUCUGAAAAUGACCAUUUUUACUAGGUUCCAGAUUGUUUAGUAGUGCAAACACAAAAGCACAAGUGCUAAAAAAAAAUUACUAAUAACUAACAAAUUCUUAUUUUCUCUUUUAUAGGCUCUAAAUAGUGUACAAUCUUGACAGUU